rnacentral:rRNA from 1 species
AUUGAACACUGGCGGCAUGCUUUACACAUGCAAGUCGAACGGUAACAGGCCUUCGGGUGCUGACGAGUGGCGAACGGGUGAGUAAUGCAUCGGAACGUGCCCAGAGGUGGGGGAUAACGCAGCGAAAGCUGUGCUAAUACCGCAUGUGAUCUGAGGAUGAAAGCGGGGGACCAGGCAGCAAUGUUUGGCCUCGCGCCUUUGGAGCGGCCGAUGUCAGAUUAGGUAGUUGGUGGGGUAAAGGCCUACCAAGCCGACGAUCUGUAGCUGGUCUGAGAGGACGACCAGCCACACUGGGACUGAGACACGGCCCAGACUCCUACGGGAGGCAGCAGUGGGGAAUUUUGGACAAUGGGCGCAAGCCUGAUCCAGCAAUGCCGCGUGCGGGAAGAAGGCCUUCGGGUUGUAAACCGCUUUUGUACGGAACGAAAAGGCUCUGGCUAAUACCUGGGGCUGAUGACGGUACCGUAAGAAUAAGCACCGGCUAACUACGUG